rnacentral:rRNA from 1 species
GUGUAGAAAGGCUGUGUAUUUUACUUUAGGAGAAAGGGUAAGUGCGAAAGUGUGUAUGUGUACAACGAGAACCAGAACGGGAACGGGCUAGGGGAAAGAGUGAGGUUUUAAAGACGAAGGCCAUCGAGGGUAGUCGAACUAAGGAACUAAGGGAGGGAACUCGAACGAACAGGAGUGGACAUCGGUGGGGGCGUCGAGCUAAGCGGACACGCCGGUAUCCCACUUGAAGCUGCCACCGAACAAACAGAGGAGCAUGCGGAGGAGCCAGAGGAGGAUCCGACCAUUACCGCUACCUCCCCAUCGUCCGGGUUCCACAUCGACGCGUUCCCUCCUCGCACAACGGGAUGUCGUCUUUAUUCCUCCUCAAUGUACUUGACCCUUGCUAACCUAACCUGCACCCCUCUCUUUUUCCUUUACAAUGGAGCGACAACCGCCCUUUCUCAUCAUUUCGAGGUUGGAGUUAUAGCAGGAACUACUUCUCCAGCUUAAUACCGGUGAAUGUCCCAUACACAUACCACACAUAGAGUUCAGAGUUGAGAGUGUACCAACCAGAAGAUUAGAGGGAGAUCGGCCGACUGUCACCCGUACGUGUUGAGAUAAGUGGGCUGCAACGAUCGCACGUACUUCCUAUCCGAAACUCGGGUAGUUAGCACACAUUGGAUGACUAGACGACUCAACUCCACGUACCAUAUACUAUUUUACGGCUAGACGACUCAACUCUUAGUACUACCUAUCGGUGGCUCUACAUCUAAUUGGAAAAAAAAUUGUUUGUAUCUAGUUGAACUAAAGUGGCGAUAACGAAAAGUUAGUAGUUCGUGCGUCUAACAUCGAUCCUCGUUCUGGAAUAAUCUUACUUCAUUAGUAGACGAGGUCUCUCGGUCGCCACGUACCGACGAGUUCGCUGGUACGGAAUCCGCGUCGGUCGGCAGCCGCUGAACUGUUGACCCUAUACUAAAAGAAGAAAAGUAAAUGCCUGCCCUCCUGCUGGUUAGCCGGCCGCCGUUGAACUAUUUGAGUACCUUGCCCGUGGGAAGAGUUAGUGCAUGCCCUCCUGCCGGCGGCAGACCGCCGCUAAACUGUUGUACCUUAUCCCUAUAAAAAGAAAAGUUAGAUCCUGCCCCUCUUGUUAUAAGAUCCAGUAUUCAUAUACAAAGGUACCGUAUCCACCCAUUAAAACUGGUUCAUUCUGAAACCUACUAGAUUACCAACAUUAAUGUACUGAAUUUUCAAAUUACCAGUCUACAAAGAUUAAAAAC